CUAUCACGAACAAAGAACAUAUGAAAAUCCAGAGAGACAACACUCCAAAUAUCAGUCCCAUCAAUACCAGAGUACAAGCAAACCAUCACAUCAAUCACAAAAUAUGUACACUUAUAGGGCACCCAAUAACCACUUUCGUGGUCCACCACAACGAGCCAAUCACUAUAACACUCACCAAUAUCAUCCUUUUCAACAACGCAACCGAAACAAUCCCC